ensembl:lncRNA
CCGAACACUGUGUCCUCACAGAUCUUGUUCAGGAAUUACGGCUGGCCUGAGAAACUGCCAGCUCAGGUCAGGUACCGUGAUCUGCAGCUAAGGUACAACAUGGACGACUAUUCAUCAAAGGGCUCCAGGGUGGUGGCUGUGAAAAAAACACAUCGAAACCUGCAGGUGGGGUUGACUGAGGAUUCAGUGCAGAGAGCAGUGGCUCUGGUGUCUAAUGAAUUCUGGGACUAUGAAGAGCAAGUGGAUCUCGAAGCAUUCAGCUCCAGCACCUUCUAUGACAUCCUACUCAAGCACAGCGUGU